rnacentral:rRNA from 1 species
UCCGUAGGUGGAUAAUUAAGUCAGGGGUGAAAGUCUGCAGCUCAACUGUAGAAUUGCCCUUGAUACUGGUUGUCUUGAGUCAUUAUGAAGUAGUUAGAAUAUGUAGUGUAGCGGUGAAAUGCAUAGAUAUUACACAGAACACCAAUUGCGAAGGCAGAUUACUAAUAAUAUACUGACACUGAUGGACGAAAGCGUGGGGAGCGAACAGGAUUAGAUACCCUGGUAGUCC